UACGUAGGGGGCUAGCGUUGUCCGGAAUCAUUGGGCGUAAAGAGCGUGUAGGCGGUCCGGUAAGUCCGCUGUGAAAGUCGGGGGCUCAACCCUCGAAUGCCGGUGGAUACUGUCGGGCUGGAGUGCGGCAGAGGGGGAUGGAAUUCCGCGUGUAGCAGUGAAAUGCGUAGAUAUGCGGAGGAACACCGAUGGCGAAGGCAAUCCCCUGGGCCUGCACUGACGCUCAUGCACGAAAGCGUGGGGAGCAAACAGG
rnacentral:rRNA from 1 species